rnacentral:rRNA from 1 species
GAUGAACGCUGGCGGCGUGCUUAACACAUGCAAGUCGAACGGUGAAAGAGAGCUUGCUCUCUGGAUCAGUGGCGAACGGGUGAGUAACACGUGAGCAAUCUGCCCCUGACUCUGGGAUAAGCGCUGGAAACGGCGUCUAAUACCGGAUACGAGCUGCGAAGGCAUCUUCAGCAGCUGGAAAGAACUUCGGUCAGGGAUGAGCUCGCGGCCUAUCAGCUAGUUGGUGAGGUAAUGGCUCACCAAGGCGUCGACGGGUAGCCGGCCUGAGAGGGUGACCGGCCACACUGGGACUGGGACACGGCCCAGACUCCUACGGGAGGCAGCAGUGGGGAAUAUUGCACAAUGGGCGCAAGGCUGAUGCAGCAACGCCGCGUGAGGGAUGACGGCCUUCGGGUUGUAAACCUCUUUUAGUAGGGAAGAAGCGAAAGUGACGGUACCUGCAGAAAAAGCACCGGCUAACUACGUGCCAGCCGCCGCGGUAAUAC